UGGGGAAUAUUGCACAAUGGGGGAAACCCUGAUGCAGCGACGCCGCGUGAGCGAAGAAGGUUUUCGAAUCGUAAAGCUCUGUCCUAUGGGAAGAUAAUGACGGUACCAUAGGAGGAAGCCCCGGCUAACUACGUGCCAGCAGCCGCGGUAAUACGUAGGGGGCAAGCGUUGUCCGGAAUUAUUGGGCGUAAAGGGCUUGUAGGCGGUUGGCCGCGUCUGCCGUGAAAUCCUCUGGCUUAACUGGGGGCGUGCGGUGGGUACGGGUUGACUUGAGUGCGGUAGGGGAGACUGGAAUUCCUGGUGUAGCGGUGGAAUGCGCAGAUAUCAGGAGGAACACCGGUGGCGAAGGCGGGUCUCUGGGCCGUUACUGACGCUGAGGAGCGAAAGCGUGGGGAGCAAACAGG
rnacentral:rRNA from 1 species